rnacentral:rRNA from 1 species
GACGAACGCUGGCGGCGUGCUUAACACAUGCAAGUCGAACGGAAAGGCCCUGCUUUUGUGGGGUGCUCGAGUGGCGAACGGGUGAGUAACACGUGAGUAACCUGCCCUUGACUUUGGGAUAACUUCAGGAAACUGGGGCUAAUACCGGAUAGGAGCUCCUGCUGCAUGGUGGGGGUUGGAAAGUUUCGGCGGUUGGGGAUGGACUCGCGGCUUAUCAGCUUGUUGGUGGGGUAGUGGCUUACCAAGGCUUUGACGGGUAGCCGGCCUGAGAGGGUGACCGGCCACAUUGGGACUGAGAUACGGCCCAGACUCCUACGGGAGGCAGCAGUGUGGAAUAUUGCACAAUGGGCGGAAGCCUGAUGCAGCAACGCCGCGUGCGGGAUGACGGCCCUCGGGUUGUAAACCGCUUUCGCCUGUGACGAAGCGUGAGUGACGGUAAUGGGUAAAGAAGCACCGGCUAACUACGUG